rfam:Bacteroidales bacterium Barb4 Barb4_contig_2, whole genome shotgun sequence.
ACCAAAUGGAGUUCAGAAACCAUUUUAAAAAUGAGGCAAUACCUACGAAGCCGUUAGAGUAAGAAAAUU